CCUUCACCUUCCUGGAGCCGCUGCAACUGCUGCAGCCGCGGACCCCACAGGGUCUCAGCCUCUCUUUCGUUAUCAUGCUUUCCCUUGACGCAUGAAUUGCCCUCCGGGUGUUAACUUUCCCACGCAUCUCAGCUCUCAGAGAGUCUCAACGGCCGAGAAUGGAGUCUCAACGGCCGAGAACGGCCAAGCAAGCCUGGCUGAUUUUCAGAAUCAGCGGAGAGAUAUUUUAAACAAGGUCGAUUUCUGGCUUAGCCCAUCAGAGAUAAUGUAGGACUUCCUCCAAAGCUAGUACCUGAGCUGACUGUGGCACCAAAUUGUGGCUGAAGGUGGGAAGCGUCUACCUUUCCCGCAGGAACUAUGGCAUCUUAAGAACUAACUUGGCAAACGGCUAUUUCAUUUUGCACGUCGUGCCCAGAGGCUGAAACUCCUUAUAAAAAGUCGGUGCAGCAUCCUGCUGUCUCUUCUCGCCCUCACCUUGGCCUUCGUGCGUCUCGGAACCAGAGCCCCAGCAGCUGGGGAAACAAACCGAUGCGAGAUUUCCCGACCACGGUGCUGGCCCAGGCGUUGGCAAAGAGUUGGGAGCAAAGAAGAGGGGAGCAAAUGGACGUGGACUUUGGAGAUGCCAGGGAUUCAACACAGGGCCUCCUGCAUGCUAAGAACGCACUCUACCACUGAGCUACACCCCCACGGCCAGCUAACACGUUCCCUCUUUUCAGAAGACGAUUUAAUGGCAGUAUGUCCCUGCCUUGCUUUUUGAGAACCUGAAACUGCUGGAGCGAAGAUCUUGGAUGCACAACUCCAUUCUUUCUGAAACUCCUUUACUGCCUUCUCUUUCACAGCGACACGAGGACAAAGGCAACUUCAAGCUAGGCAGAAAGGCACUGUGAAUACAAUCUAUUCCCCCUGGUCAACCUGUCCCCAAAGACCCAGCUCCAAAAAAACUUGAACAAAAGAAGGCAAAGAAGAGCCCUUUCCUAGCCCUGUCUCUUGGAAGAGUCUAGAAUCCACAACAUUCAAAGAGCAAUGAGGGGAAACAGUCCUAUAGCCUAAGUCACUAGGGAGGAAAAG
rnacentral:lncRNA from 1 species